GGACAGGUGUCUGAGUGGUUUAAGGAGCACGCUUGGAAAGCGUGUGUACUGGAAACGGUACCGUGGGUUCGAAUCCCACCCUGUCCGCCA
rnacentral:tRNA from 1 species